CAGCAACGCCGCGUGGAGGAUGACACUUUUCGGAGCGUAAACUCCUUUUCUUAGGGAAGAAUUCUGACGGUACCUAAGGAAUAAGCACCGGCUAACUCCGUGCCAGCAGCCGCGGUAAUACGGAGGGUGCAAGCGUUACUCGGAAUCACUGGGCGUAAAGGGCGCGUAGGCGGAUUAUCAAGUCUCUUGUGAAAUCUAAUGGCUUAACCAUUAAACUGCUUGGGAAACUGAUAGUCUAGAGUGAGGGAGAGGCAGAUGGAAUUGGUGGUGUAGGGGUAAAAUCCGUAGAUAUCACCAAGAAUACCCAUUGCGAAGGCGAUCUGCUGGAACUCAACUGACGCUAAGGCGCGAAAGCGUGGGGAGCAAACAGGAUUAGAUACCCUGGUAGUCCACGCCCUAAACGAUGUACACUAGUUGUUGGGGUGCUAGUCAUCUCAGUAAUGCAGCUAACGCAUUAAGUGUACCGCCUGGGGAGUACGGUCGCAAGAUUAAAACUCAAAGGAAUAGACGGGGACCCGCACAAGCGGUGGAGCAUGUGGUUUAAUUCGAAGAUACGCGAAGAACCUUACCUGGGCUUGAUAUCCUAAGAACCUUAUAGAGAUAUGAGGGUGCUAGCUUGCUAGAACUUAGAGACAGGUGCUGCACGGCUGUCGUCAGCUCGUGUCGUGAGAUGUUGGGUUAAGUCCCGCAACGAGCGCAACCCACGUAUUUAGUUGCUAACGGUUCGGCCGAGCACUCUAAAUAGACUGCCUUCGUAAGGAGGAGGAAGGUGUGGACGACGUCAAGUCAUCAUGGCCCUUAUGCCCAGGGCGACACACGUGCUACAAUGGCAUAUACAAUGAGACGCAAUACCGCGAGGUGGAGCAAAUCUAUAAAAUAUGUCCCAGUUCGGAUUGUUCUCUGCAACUCGAGAGCAUGAAGCCGGAAUCGCUAGUAAUCGUAGAUCAGCCAUGCUACGGUGAAUACGUUCCCGGGUCUUGUACUCACCGCCCGUCACACCAUGGGAGUUGAUUUCACUCGAAGCCGGAAUACUAAACUAGUUACCGUCCACAGUGGAAUCAGCGACUGGGGUGAAGUCGUAACAAGGUAACCGUAGGAGAACCUGCGGUUGGAUCACCUCCUUUCUA
rnacentral:rRNA from 1 species